rnacentral:rRNA from 1 species
CAUGCAAGUCGAACGAUGAACCACUUCGGUGGGGAUUAGUGGCGAACGGGUGAGUAACACGUGGGCAAUCUGCCCUUCACUCUGGGACAAGCCCUGGAAACGGGGUCUAAUACCGGAUAACACUCCCUCUCUCAUGGGUGCGGGUUAAAAGCUCCGGCGGUGAAGGAUGAGCCCGCGGCCUAUCAGCUUGUUGGUGAGGUAAUGGCUCACCAAGGCGACGACGGGUAGCCGGCCUGAGAGGGCGACCGGCCACACUGGGACUGAGACACGGCCCAGACUCCUACGGGAGGCAGCAGUGGGGAAUAUUGCACAAUGGGCGAAAGCCUGAUGCAGCGACGCCGCGUGAGGGAUGACGGCCUUCGGGUUGUAAACCUCUUUCAGCAGGGAAGAAGCGAAAGUGACGGUACCUGCAGAAGAAGCGCCGGCUAACUACGAGCCAGCAGCCGCGGUAAUACGUAUGGCGCAAGCGUUGUCCGGAAUUAUUGGGCGUAAAGAGCUCGUAGGCGGCUUGUCACGUCGCCUGUGAAAGCCCGGGGCUUAACCCCGGGUCUGCAUUCGAUACGGGCUAGCUAGAGUGUGGUAGGGGAGAUCGGAAUUCCUGGUGUAGCGGUGAAAUGCGCAGAUAUCAGGAGGAACACCGGUGGCGAAGGCGGAUCUCUGGGCCAUUACUGACGCUGAGGAGCGAAAGCGUGGGGAGCGAACAGGAUUAGAUACCCUGGUAGUCCACGCCGUAAACGGUGGGAACUAGGUGUUGGCGACAUUCCACGUCGUCGGUGCCGCAGCUAACGCAUUAAGUUCCCCGCCUGGGGAGUACGGCCGCAAGGCUAAAACUCAAACGAAUUGACGGGGGCCGGCACAAGCAGCGGAGCAUGUGGCUUAAUUCGACGCAACGCGAAGAACCUUACCAAGGCUUGACAUACACCGGAAAGCAUCAGAGAUGGUGCCCCCCUUGUGGUCGGUGUACAGGUGGUGCAUGGCUGUCGUCAGCUCGUGUCGUGAGAUGUUGGGUUAAGUCCCGCAACGAGCGCAACCCUUGUUCUCUGUUGCCAGCAUGCCCUUCGGGGUGAUGGGGACUCACAGGAGACCGCCGGGGUCAACUCGCAGGAAGGUGGGGACGACGUCAAGUCAUCAUGCCCCUUAUGUCUUGGGCUGCACACG